CGCCCUCUGUACGGAGGAAGGGCCAGCGGGGGACGCGAAGACCGGGGCAGCCACAAGCGCACCAGGAGACCUGCACGGGCCAAUGAGGGGGUCACAGCAGUGGCUGGGAAUAUCAGAUGAAAGAGUCUUUGAGGGGGAAUGACUUCCCUUUGAGGGCGGAGGAGCUGUUCAAAAAUCACAUGAAGGUUGCCUGAGGACCGACGCAGAGCCAACGUCACCGCAGUCUUGAGAAAGAGCAAGAAGGAUGGCCUGCGCAACUUUGCUUAGAGAUAUUUGUAAGGAGCAGCCACGGUGGAUUCAGCAAGGGGAAGCGAUGUCAGACUGAGCUGGGUGAGUGCCACAGCAGAGCAUUCAGCAGUGAGGAUCAGCCUGGAGUUGCGAGCCCUCUGACUGGUCUGCCCUGCCUCAAGCGUUUUGCAGAGUUGUUGCUGCAGGUUCAGAGCGGGCAUUCUCUUGGUGGGACUCUGGAGUGAGGAUUUGGAUAAGUGGCUGGAGGUAAAAUGCACCCGUGGUGUAUGUGUCUUGUCUGCUAUGGAUUUAUGGUAUGGUUUACAGUAUCAACAAGCUAAAUAGGCUGAGAUGACUAGGAAGGAGUUAAACCUUAAUCACACAGAAAUAGCUUAAUACAUUUACAUAAAGUGUUAUCAGAUACCUCUCACAAAAGAAGCUUUCACAACCAUUUCCAUUUUUAGUUUUCCUAGUAUACUUUUUCCCCCCCAAAAUAAGAUGGCAACUGAGUUGGAGAACAGAGCAGCAGCUUUCCUUCUUCCUAGCUGUGCCUCCUGUAAAGUGUGCUGCAUUAAAUUGCCAGACAGACAACUUAAUAUCUAAAAUUAAAUAGUGAAAAGCUAGGUUUCCCUUACUUAGAUGUUGGUUGCUUGGCCUUCUUGCUUAAGUAAAGCUGUGGAGAAGAUCUUUUAGAUAUAGUCCUGUUCUUAUUUCAGCAGGUGUCCUCAAAAAAUUGGUAAUGAGGCUUGCUUCUGUGGGGUGGGAAGCAGGUGAUGAUGUGUGCCUUUUUGCAGAAGAAUUAAUGGCUUAUGAUGGCCUUUAAGGAAGGCUGCGUCUGCUGCGGGUGCAAAUGCUCUGCGUUGCGUGUGGGAACUGGCGUGCCUAUGAAUAUCUGCGCUAAAAUGGAAUGGCUAAGCUUAGAAAAUUCUGGAGAUAAGCAUUUCUUGAGCUCACAGGUAUGGGUGCUGUCCCAAGAGCGGUGUGGAGAUGACUGUCCUGCCAAAAAAACUUCUGCUUUCCAUUUGUAGGGUAAGUUCACUGAGAACUCUCUCUUUACUUGCUCCGUAACCUGAGCUAGUGCUUCCAUUAGAAACCCUUUGUAUUGAGUCUUGGUAAGUUAGUUUCUGUAAACAUUCAUCCCAUGCUGAGGCUGAAUUCUUCUACUGCUAGCUAUACUAAUACAUCCUGAUCUACAUUGAGCUUUGCAAUAAAAGCGGUGGAACUGCGGUUGGGCUUUUGCGUUAGACAUCUGUGUGUGGUAUGCUGCAAUGUAUUGCAGCCUAGUUUAUGUAAGAGUCUGCAAUUACUAAUGGCUUCAUUUUCAAUCUGUUAAUGACCCGGUUCUGCUGCUG